CAAUAGCGUAUAUUUAAGUUGUUGCAGUUAAAAAGCUCGUAGUUGGAUUUCGGAUGGGAUUUGCCGGUCCGUCGUUACGAUGUGCACUGGCCAGUCCUAUCUUGUUGUCGGGGACUAGCUCCUUGGAUUCACUUCCUGGGACUAGGAGCUGACGAGGUUACUUUGAGUAAAUUAGAGUGUUCAAAGCAAGCCUACGCUCUGAAUACAUUAGCAUGGAAUAACACGAUAGGACUCUGGCUUAUCUUGUUGGUCUGUGAGACCAGAGUAAUGAUUAAGAGGGACAGUCGGGGACAUUCGUAUUUCAUUGUCAGAGGUGAAAUUCUUGGAUUUAUGAAAGACGAACUUCUGCGAAAGCAUUUGUCAAGGAUGUUCUCAUUAA
rnacentral:rRNA from 1 species